GUGUUGUAUGAAAGGAGAGAAGGUUAGCACUCCCCUUGACAAGGACGGAAUGGACUUCGGUCCUAAAACACACAUGAUGGUUAAGGCACAGCUGCAUACUUCGCAGCUCUUAACCGAAUUUUUUUU
rnacentral:ncRNA from 1 species